GAGAAUGCCGGUGUGAGUAGCGAAAGACGGGUGAGAAUCCCGUCCACCGAUUGACUAAGGUUUCCAGAGGAAGGCUCGUCCGCUCUGGGUUAGUCGGGUCCUAAGCUGAGGCCGACAGGCGUAGGCGAUGGAUAACAGGUUGAUAUUCCUGUACCACCUAUAAUCGUUUUAAUCGAUGGGGGGACGCAGUAGGAUAGGCGAAGCGUGCGAUUGGAUUGCACGUCUAAGCAGUAAGGCUGAGUAUUAGGCAAAUCCGGUACUCGUUAAGGCUGAGCUGUGAUGGGGAGAAGACAUUGUGUCUUCGAGUCGUUGAUUUCACACUGCCGAGAAAAGCCUCUAGAUAGAAAAUAGGUGCCCG
rnacentral:rRNA from 1 species